AUGCACGCUGGCGGCGUGCCUAAUACCUGCCAGUCGAGCGCACAGACGAGGAGCUUGCUCCUCUGACGUUAGCGGCGGACGGGUGAGUAACACGUGGAUAACCUACCUAUAAGACUGGGAUAACUUCGGGAAACCGGAGCUAAUACCGGAUAAUAUAUUGAACCGCAUGGUUCAAUAGUGAAAGACGGUUUUGCUGUCACUUAUAGAUGGAUCCGCGCCGCAUUAGCUAGUUGGUAAGGUAACGGCUUACCAAGGCAACGAUGCGUAGCCGACCUGAGAGGGUGAUCGGCCACUCUGGAACUGAGACACGGUCCAGACUCCUACGGGAGGCAGCAGUAGGGAAUCUUCCGCAAUGGGCGAAAGCCUGACGGAGCAACGCCGCGUGAGUGAUGAAGGUCUUCGGAUCGUAAAACUCUGUUAUUAGGGAAGAACAAAUGUGUAAGUAACUAUGCACGUCUUGACGGUACCUAAUCAGAAAGCCACGGCUAACUACGUG
rnacentral:rRNA from 1 species